rnacentral:lncRNA from 1 species
CCACUUCUUACUUUUCGUGGAGGCUGUACUCAGAGUGGAGGGAUCAAUCCCUCCUGAACCUGAGAUCCUGGAAUCCUGAGUCUGAGCAUCCUCCUGAGAAUCUCCCAUACCUUCUUCAGGUACUCUGACUCCCAUACUGACAUCCCUUCUCUGAACAUCCGACUCUACUUCUCUCAUACUAGCUGACAUCCUUCUUGGAGCCAUUGCUUCUGUGCUUACAUCAAAAGACCUUCCAGGGUCCCUUGAUGUUCCCCAUCUGCUGACUCCC